UUCUACAGUAGCGCGUCAAGAAACAGGGGCGAGCUCGCUCCGGCGAUUUCGAUCCUUUCCACCACCGGCGAGCUUGUGAGGUCAAGGGCUUCCCUUCCUCUAGUUAUCAUCUACCCAUCAUCAGCCGGCGAUGCCAUUUCAACAACCUGAUCCAGAUUUGACUGCAUUUUUCGCUGUGAUUCUGAGAGGAAGAAGAAGAACGGAGAAGUGGAGUGAUCCGAUGGUUUCAGCCGAUUUCUCUCCCAUCUUCCAGCCAGCGAUCUUCUUCCCGUGAAGUUCCGACCACAUCCAAAUGAUGGGAGUGUUCUCUUAUGCUCGUUUCUAAUUUCUGCACAAUUCAUUUGAAUCUGCUAGAUCAGAGUUCUUUUGAUCAGUUUAUCAUCGAUUACAAGAUUCAGACAUUUUCGUCCAAUCCAAUGAGUGCUUAGGAAUGCCCUAGCUCACAUCGGUUCAUCACUUUCCCUAUUUGAUUUUUGCAUUUCUGUUUUCCAAUUUCCAAUUUCGCUUAUUGUUUCUUGGCUGUUUAGUUUUAUAGAUCUGAAUUGGUAAGGUUACAUGAAGUUUAGAUCUGUUUCUUAUUGUCUUUGAUGCAUCUGAAUGUUUGUUAACUCUUUGAGUGGAGAUCUGAUUUGUUCUUGAGUUCAUUGUUUAGUUCAUAAAUGCAAGAAUCUGAAUUGUUUGCUUUGUUCUUGUCUUGUUCUUGUUUUGUCAUUUAGUUUCUAAUCUGUUGGAUCUGUUAAUGAUGCAAUCCAUAGCAUAAAGUAACAAUAUGUUGUGGGUUCAUGAUUAAUAAAUAGAUAGGAUUUUCUUUAAUUUCAUUAAGUUUAGUUUCAUUACUUGCUUUGCUAUUUCGUAUCAUAGUUAAGAACUUAAUCCAAAACCCUAAUUCAAUAUCAAAAACCAAAAGUAAGAACGAAACAAUCCUAAGAUACCAUCAUUGUUAUAUUCGUUGGGAGACGACCCGAGUCAUAUCUAUACUACAUUAGUGUAGAAUGAAUUCGGUCACUUAAUUCUUUUAAUACCCAUUUCACGACAAAAAUAGGGUUUAUCAAAUUGGUGUCGUUGCCGGGGAAUUGUAGCGGUGUUUGAUACCUUAGAAUUGUUUUUUUUUUCUUUUUACAUAAAAAUAAAAAAAAUUGUUUCAAUUGCUUUCAUGUUCAUAUAUCCAUGUGUUUGAUAUUAUAUGCUCCUGUGUUUUCUGAUUCUAUUUGCUAGUAUUUCAGUGUAAGAGCAAGAAAUUUCUUUGACCAUGGAUCCAUUUUAUCAGUACUAUCAGCCUCAGACUUGGUUCUAUCAGCUUGAACAUCAGUACUAUCCACCAGUGGAUCAAUCAAAUUUCAGGUGCGAGGUUACACAUAGUCAGUCUACUGAGCCAUAUCUAGCAUAUCAAAGCCUACAGGGAGUUCAGGAUGAUUAUAUAGCUAUGCGAAAAAGGAUUCGUGGUAUUCAACAAUUCGAGGAGGAGACAUUACAUGAAUAUUGGAAGAGAUUUAAGGAACUUUGCUCUAGUUGUCCUCAACAUCAAAGCAGUGAUCAGAUGCUUGCCCUACAUUUUUAUGAUGGGCUUUCGCCGUUUGAUUUAUACAUGGUGGAUAAAGCUAGUGGAGGGCCUUUGAUUGAUAAGACUCCUGAUGAAGCUAUGAAACUUUUGGAAACCAUGGCAGCCAAUCCUCAGUAAUUUAGAAAUGGACAACCGGUUACCUUAAGAGUUGAUGAGACCAUUCCUACGAAUAUUGAGGUGCUUGAGCAGAGGGAUUGUAGUGUCUUUGACAGACCUGAUCUUGAUUUUAUUACUUCACAGGACUCCGAUCCUUUAGUAUUUCUUGUUAUGAUUCAGUAGUUGUAAGAAUUUCUGGCUCUACUGAUACUGUUGUUGUAGAUGUUACUGAUAAUGCAGGUACUGAUGUGGAUGAUGAUGUAAGUGUAGGGGAUUGCACAGUGGAAGCAAUACCCCAAGAAUCACCUGAACUAGAUGUGGAUGAUGAGAGUGUAGGGACUUGUACUAUAGAGGCAAGGACCCAAGAAUUACUAUCUGUGGUUGUACAUUCACCUGAGCCAAAACCAAAGCUUGAGCUAUUAUCUGAUGAGGAGGAGGUCACAGUCACCAUUUUAGAACCUCUAGGUACCUUUCAACAUGAAAAGGUUAAUAUUUCGUGUGAUUCAUCAAAAAAUUUCAUAAAGGUACCAUGGAUUGACUUUAUUGGAUGUGAUUUGUUUCUUGAUAUAUUUUCUGCAAAAACUAAUAUUUUUCUUUCUUCUUCUUAUCCUACAUGCAUGUGGGAGGUGUUGUUUUCCUUUGACUUUGUAGGUUGUCGUAGGCUUCCAAAAUGGUUGCUCCAUCUAAACCGUCUUCGACCUCCGGGAAGAAUUUUCAAAGGAAAAAUGUUGGAUGAAGUGGAUUUGACUGCAACUACAAUUAUUCCACUUCCAACUUGGAUUUUGCACCUUAAUCGACUCCAACCGCCCGGAAUUAAGGGGAGUUCAUUCCUUACUUUAAUUUUUGCUCUAUACUUUUCUUUAGUUUCAUACUUUGCAUUUGCAUUUUGUUUCUAUACUUUGCAUGUUGUUUAGUCUACAUAGCAUUUCAUUUUGAAUAAAACUCUCCAUGAAAUUGUUCUAGUAAUACUUUUAAGAUGAUAAAAACUUCUUAAAUUUGACCAUCAAGCUUUAGGUCAUUUGACAUGAUUGAAUGCUUUACUUGCAUGUUAUUGGUUGGCGUGGUAAUGGAUUCUGUUUUGAUUAACUAAGCUCGAUUGCUAAAAAUUACCUAGAGAGGACUACCUAAAGCCUAUACUCUAUUAUCUUUUUGUGUGAUAUGCACUCAUGAUAAUUGAACUCUAAAACUUGCUUUGCUUCUUUUUGAAAUCACAAUAAUAUUUGUAUGCAUGAAUAUGAUGAAGGAUUUCUUUUCAUCUAUUCUUUUAUUUCUUUUCCUUCCAAUCCUAGUUGAAUAACUCAAUCAACACUUUUAUCUUCUACCACAUUUGUUUUGCUUGUCAUUCUUUUAUUGAGAGUUUGGUUGAUUAUCUUGAUGAGUUAUUUUUUUUUCUAAGAUGGCCAAAGUUUUAAGUGUGGGGGAGAGAUGUUAUAAAAUUUUGGAAAUAUUGGAGAUUUAGCAAUUGUUCUUGAGGAUUGGUUCAUUUUCUUUGUUUUUGAUCUUGUUGGUGGAAUUAAUUCAAGGGUUGUAUUGUUGGGAAUUUAAUGAUGUUGAGCAGUCUUUGAGGUAGAAAAUGAAUUUGUUUUGAGUUGGUUGAUGAGGAAUGAAUAUUUGUGGUUUUCUUUGGAUGUUGUCGAAAACUAGUUGAAGAUAGAAUCUGCAGUUUUGUGGAAUUGGUAAAAAGAGCUCUUCACUUGAUGUAUCAAUCUCUACUUGUUGUGUGCCAAGUUUUGAUUAUAAACUUCUGAAUAGUAAGAUUCCAAGUGGAGAUUUCCCACUACUAUUUGAUGUUCCAACCUUUCAAUAUUUGAUCAUGAUCUGAGCAUGUAACUAAGAUGGAUGAAGAGUCUGGAAUUUUCUUUUUAACCUCAUUUCAGUGCUGAAAUCAGAGAAUGGAAUGCUUUAAAAAAAACAGAGAAUAAAAUAGAUGAAAAAGAGUGAAGGUAGAGGAGAGAAAAAAAAAGUGCCACUCAUUCUAAUCUUCACGAAGUCAUAGAAGGAAUGAGCCUAAAAUUUCUGCAGAAACCACGAAUCAUUUACAACAAAGGUCAUCUCUGAAAUUGAAGUAUCAACUUCAGCCUUUUGCGUACCAAAAUUCCCUUGGAAAUUUUCUAAGUGGAGCAUUUAAGUUCUCAGUGUUAUUUGGUGAUUACUUCUCUUCAAGCCUUCCAUGAUUCAAAACAUUCAAUGCCAUUGAAUCUGAUCUCUGAAAUUGCCCAGCUGAAUUGCAGUGCAGGGAAAGGUAAAAGUCAGUAUUGUUGCAAGUUAGUUUGUUUUUUUUCACCUAUACAAUUAAAAGAAAUAGAAAGGAGGAUAAUUAGCAAUAAAUUCAGAAUUCAGCCAGUGAAAUUGUGAGUGCCAAAUCUGUAGUGUGUCUUUGGACAGCAACAAGUAGGAUUUAAUCUCUUGACUUCCAAGUUCUUAAUGGGAUUUAUUGUUAAGCUGAAUUCCGCUUGAGUCAAGCUGAAAUCACCUUGGAAUUCAAGUUCUGGAACUUGAAGCUAAAAAAAACCUAUGCAAUUAGUAAACUGAUUUCUGAAUUGGUUGAAAAUGCUGAAUUGUAAAUCAGAUCCGAAUCUUUCCAGAAUAAAUGGUAUACUGAGAGGUGAAGAAUAAACUGCGGAUUUCUAAAACAAGUUUACAUGGAUUAUUUUCCAAGGAAGUAAGCAAGGAAAAGAAAUCCAGAAGUUGGAAGCUGCAGUGAAACAAAAUCUGUGUUCCCUUGCAAUUGUGUGCCAACUUUCUUUUGCAAACAGAUCAGUGAAAUGUUCAAGCUGAAGUUUUGUUUUCUCAGUGACAAAUGUAUUCCCUUCUUUCCAAGUCUUCAAUGAAUUUGAAAUCUGGAGUAUCAUGAGAUCUGGAAAAAAAAACUCUGAAACUGUGAAUGCAGAAUUUUGAUGUGGCUGCUAUGGUGUUCCAUAAAUUUUGUUUUUGUUUUCUAGUAAUUCAACAUGAAUGCAUUUUUAAAGUAGUUAAGAAAAUGAGUGCUAGUUGAAAGAGAAGUCUCUACAUGUCUAUUGUCAAUUGGUGUCAUUGCAUUUCCAAUUCUUUUAUGAUUAGAAUCUAGAAAUGAAACUGAGUUCUCAAUUGCAAUAGCCAUGAUUUGGUUUGAAGUUGCUAGAUUUUAUGGAACUUUUGAGUGUGAUUCUGAUGGGAUUUUAGAAAUCUAAGUUGCAAAGGAAUUGGUCCUUUGAGUGUUGAAUUUUAACCAAUCGUUUAAUAGAUGCAAAGCUGUGUAAUGAGCAUAAACAAGAAAAACACCUGCUUAUUGCCAAAUUUGAGCGCUCCUCUUAUUCUUUAUCAGUAAAUCUGUAGCAAUUUGAAUAUUUUGUGUGCAAAGUCUUUUUCACAGUGUGAUCAGUAAAGAUUCCUAGUGAAGCUCUUGCCCUUUUGUUGUCUUCCUUACCCAAUUCUUUUAUGGAUAAAAAUCUAUAAAUCCAGGAAGCUGUCAUCUGAAAUUGUUGAGUUGUGAAUUUGAUCAACAUUGUUGUUCUGUGCCAAUAACAGAUUAUGGGUGAACCAAUUGAGAUGUAUACAUUGGAAUUAAGAAAAAGAAAGAAGAAUAACUUGAAGGAACAAACAGAAAACUGAAAUUGAAAGGAAUUCACAAAGUUUUGAUAGCAACCUUUGAGAAGGGGCUAAUGUAGGAAGAUUAUCCAGUGAACUAAUUGUAAUUGUUGAAUCACAUAAGAUACAAGUCAGAGUUCUGAAUCUGUGUCAGAAAAAAAUGCUUUGUCCGAGACGGACAAUAUUUUAAGUGUGGGGGGAUGCAUUAGUUUUUUUUGCAUAAGGUUUGGAAUUAAAAAAACAACAAAAGAAGUAAUGAAGAGUAUCAAGUUGAGGAGACAAUGUAUCAAGAUUCUAUGGUAGUGAUCAAAUUGAAGAAGAGUUUGGCUUGAUCUCUUGUGUUAGUAAUGCAAAUGGUACUUAUCCCUUUUCAAUCAAUAGGGUCAACUCAUCAAAUGUAUUCCUCCAAUAUUCUCAUUUCUUCAUUGAUUUCUUUUCCCUUUUCCAUUUUGUUCACUUCACUUAAUUCUUUUUGAUUCCAUUGCAAUUCAUAAUAAAUCCUUUUGAUUCAUGCAUGUUAUGUUUUAUAGUGAUGGAGAAAUAGAAAAUAAGCAAGCAUAUGGUAGUGAAGUCUUAUGAGUGGCAUUGAGUUGAGCUCCAUUUAUACACAUGUUUGAGUAUGAGAGUUAGAAUAAGUAAAUACCUUGUGAGAUUGUAUCUUACUUAAUUCUUCAAAUGGUUUGAAACUACCAUACCUACUGAUUAUUGUUUGGAUUGAAUUCAUGAUUGUUUGUGAUCUUUAGAUGGUCUUAGGUAAAUUCCUUUUAUUAUCUUCUAGGUAUUGCUAGGGAAUUAUUGUGGAGAUGGUUUUUAGCUGUUUCUUUAUUUUGUUUACUUGCCCGGGACGUGCAAGAAUAAGUGUGGGGGAAUUUGAUAACCAUUAUUUGGUCAUGAUAUUUUGAUUCAUAUAAGCAUGUCAAUUGAUCUUCUCAUGUGUUAAUUCCACGUUUACAUCACAUUACAUGAGUUAUAUUCAUCUGUGGACUUAAUUGCAAAUUAUAUUAUAUUUGCGGUAUUUGAUACUAAUAUUUUGUUAUAUGUUUUGUAGGAUCAAAAGGGGCAUGGACUUGAUCAGAUCAGACUACGUUUGGAUUCAAAUCUAGGGCUAAUUGAAGAGAUCAAGUUCUGAAGCAAUAUGGACCGUCCAUCCAAGAUCAGAGUAGAUCUAAGUCAUCCGUGAAGAAUCUGGUUCAUCCAAGCCAAAGGGUAGUAGAUUACAACCAUUGAUCAAAAUCUGAAAAUUUGGAACAGAUUUGGAGCAAUUGCCACCGUUGGAUCGAUCCGAGGAAAUCACAACCGUUCAUCACAGAUCUGAGAUUUGAUUUAAAUCACAUGAGAAGUUACAGUGUUCAGUUGUCAAUUUUCUACAGUAGCACGUCAAGAAAUAGGGGCGAGCUCGCUUCGGCGAUUUCGAUCCUUUCCACCACCGGCGAGCUUGUGAGGUCAAGGGCUUCCCUUCCUCUGGUUAUCAUCUAUCCAUCAUCAGCCGACGAUGCCAUUUCAACAACCUGAUCCAGAUUUGACUGCAUUUUCCGUCGCAAUUCUGAGAGGAAGAAGAAGAACGGAGAAGUGGAGUGAUCCGGUGGUUUCAGCCGAUUUCUCUCCCAUCUUCCAGCCAACGAUCUUCUUCCUGUGAAGUUCCGACCACAUCCAAAUGAUGGGAGUGUUCUCUUAUGCUCGUUUCUAAUUUCUGCACAAUUCAUUUGAAUCUGUCAGAUCAGAGUUCUUUUGAUCAGUUUAUCAUCGAUUACAAGAUUCGGACAUUUUCAUCCAAUCCAGUGGUUCAUUUUCGAUUGUUAGAGAAGCCAACAGAAGAACAUUUUAGCAUAGAGUUGUCAUCAUGGUUAGACAAAAAAAGAAAGGGACAAUCAUGUUGGAAAAAUUGAAUGGUGAUCAAGCAAAUGUGUAAAAGUUCAUCAUCCACAAACAAGAUCCAAGCAUCAAUCACAAGUUCAACAAGCAUCAACAUUGCAAGCUCAAACUUUGGAGCUCAUUGAUGAACAACAAAACUUGCAAUCAAUUGAUCUACCUAAUUCACAACCUAGUUUAACCUUGCUAAAUUCAGGAGAAACUAAUAAUGGAGUGACUAAAAAACGAGGAAGAGGCCCUGCUCAGGGUAAUUUAUCUCAAGUGCAUCCUCCCACACGUGUACUAGAGAAACCACAACAACAAAAACCAAAUAAUAUAUUACGUCCAAUAGUUCAUCGUCCACAAACAAGAUCCAAGCAUCAAUCACAAGUUUAACAAGUAUCAACAUCACAAGCUCAAGCUUUGGAGCUCAUUAAUGAACAACAAAAUUCUCAAUCAAUUGAUCCACCUAAUUUAUGACCUAGUUUAACCUUAUCAAAUUCAGCGAAGAAGAGGCCCUGCUCAAGGGGAUUUACAAGUGGGUGAAAAGUUACUAGUUGAUUUCAACGAAUCAUUCCAUGCUAUUGGACCGAAUGCGGGAAAUUUAGUAAUCAAAAGGUUCAACAACUUGAAAGGCACAAAGAUAUUGGCAAACACAUAAACCAUCAUUUCUUAUUACGAGAUGAAAAGGAUUCUGAUGAAGAAGGAUUAUAGAAGUUAUCUCUAGAUCACGAGGAGUUGUUCUUUAGACUUUCUUUUGUGUAACUUUCAUGUGAAUAGUUAUUUUAUUAUUAUCAAAUUAUUGAUAGAUAUGUAGAUAUUUCUGUUAUUGGAUGAAUGUUGGAUGCACUUCAAUUAAUGAUUAUAGAAUUUUAUAUUGUGUAUAUCAUUUUUAAUUUAU